rnacentral:ribozyme from 1 species
UGCCCAGCAACUUCUAUCCCUACCUCCACGUGGCACCGGUCGGACUGCAAGCAACCUUAGGGAAGAUCGGUGCGAACUUUGGUCGUAGGCUGACAGGGAGGG